GGGUCCAGCACCGCCAUCAGCUCCACCUUCGCUUGCUGGUAAGCGAUGAGGCACUCGAGGCCAUUGCACCGCCACGGAAAAGAAAGGAUUUGAAUUUUUACGGGAGAAAAGAAGAGAAAAAAUUUGAAAGGAUUGAAUUAUAAUAGUGUCAUUUUCAAUGUUAACGAGAGAAAAAGAAAGGAAAAGAAUGUAUCUUGAUGUGAUUUUUUUUUUUGUUGUUGGUAUAUUUAGAAAUAAGAUAUAAAACAGGGGUGUAAGCGAGAGAGAAUGCAAGAAUUUGUUUAUUAAUAUACAAAUCCCUUCCGAGAUUAAAAAUGCAUGUAAAAAUGACUUUAUUAAUCCAUCGCCUUCCUUCUCCUUCCUUUCCAUUCGAGAAAGUUCAUUUUUUUUUUUUUUAAAUUCCCGUUUUCUUUCCUCCUAAUCCCUCCAAUAAAAUCACGUAGCAAUUGUGAACUAGAAUAGGAUAAUGAAGGAUUUUAUUUAGUUGCAUCUUGAGCCUCGACCGCCACCUAAAUAUGUAUCCUCAUCUUUGGAGAAUCUAACAAUAAGUUGAAUUAAUCUAUGUAACCUAAGUCGAAAAUACCAGCAUAUCCCAUUUCAAAAACGCUCGGACUAGGGACGGAAGUCGCACUAUCUUUAAGACAUUAAUCCACGCUGGCUAUUUCAUUCUAAAUUUAUUCAAACUACGUUGGACCUUAGAUUUGCCAAAAUAGAAAAGCUUUAUCCACCAUGUCCAUACAGCAAAUCGGCACUUGCUAAGAGCUGCGUGGCGGCAAGUGCAUUGGAGAGUGUUCCCUCUUCAAUUUGAAGGUGAAACAUGUGAGAACGAAACUAUCAUAUCCAUCCCAUGUUUUGAUUAUAUAGAGGGAAGCGAAAUCAAGCUCUUCUAUGCCUGCCUGUUGUCGUAACUUGUGGAUGCGGUGCUAGUGAAAUGACAACGAAAAUUUUGCCAUUUUCCGUUCGACGUAUAGUCACUAAUUGUAUAUGAAACGAUGUUUCUGUGUUAUAUAUUCAAGUCCCGACAUGUCCGAUUGUUGGAUUCCGCUGAUCUCAUUAGAUUUGAGAAGUUUUGAUCGAGAUAAAAUUGGAAGAUUGCUCUCACUUGUCCAUCACUUCUCAUGUCAUAAUAAAAUUGAUGGAGAUCCAAAGAUUCAGUGACAUAAAAUGGGAUUAAAGCAGGUGGUUAGCUCCAUUAAUCUAUGGGGUCAAUUUCUAUGCAGAAAAAUGGAACUAAUAAGUUACAUUGUCAUUUUCUUCUAUAGGCGCGAACAAACAGCCUGUGUCGGAAAAGGGAAGAUAUGGAAGGAAGGAAAGAAGGAAAGUGAAGAACAUGUGAAGUAAGAACAAUGACUAUCACGCUUGAUCUCGACAAGUUUAAGUCCAUGAAUGAAAACAUGAUUUCAUAAUUGAAUAUUUCUACCGGUUCUCUUGAGCGUAAGUUGGAUUUUGAUUUGAAAUUAAAGCAUGAAAACAUAUAAUAAGAGCUAGGGGUGAACAUAGUUCUGGGGUAAAAUCGGGAAAAUGAGAAUUUAAAUUAGUCCAAUUCUAAGUUCUAUUCUAUGCAUGAUAAGUUUCAGAUUUGAAAAUUAGUGAACUUGUUCCAACAAGUAGGUUACAAGUUCAAAGUGAAACCUAAAUGGACCCGAAAUCACUUCACCUAAUAAGAGUGGCAAAUGGAUUGCCCAAAAAGAUUUGAACUUGAGAUCUUCGGCUUUAAUACUAUGUGCAAUAUUAUGAGUUCACAGCUAAUUAUUUUAAAAGAAUAAAUUGAUAAAUCAAUUUAAUUUAGAAGGAAAAAAAUUAUCUGUUACACGUGGGUAAUGAGGAAAGGUCAUCACUUCAGGCAUUUACCUCCAAUUAUUCUCUCUUUGCAAACAUAAAGAGUAGGGACUGGCUGUUUUUCCUCCUCCUCCGCUUCUUUUCCUCCAACUUUCUUUCUCUUUAAUACCUUUUCCUCUCAAAUCCCUAAUUUCUGAUUCAAAGGAAGAUUUGAGGCUACCCUCUAAUAAAAAUUCUUCAACAUCUUUGAGAAUUUUCCCAAUGGCCAUCUACAAAUUAUAGUAGUGACCUGUUAAUAAAUGAUCGGAGAUAAUAACGUGCAUAUUGCUUUCGAAGAAUAUAAGAACAUGGGUCGACCCCCUGCAAUGUUAUAAUGCCUCUGUUUUUCAUUUGAAAUUAUUCAACCUUUAUGAGUACAAUCAACAUAUUAGGAAUGGCAAAACUUCUUAUAUCUAAUUCCUUUACUCAUCUCCAGACGCUUGCUGACAUAUUUGGUUUCUUCUGUUGGUACAUUGUGGAGGCGCAAUGAAUGAAGAGACCUUGUCAGGUUGCUCAACUACCCCUUGUCAGACAGAUUAGGACGAAGUCCUCCUUCGAUGCAAAUUCAAUAAUUCAAAUGGAAGAUGAGCAGCCGCGCCGUAAAGAAAAGGGAAAAACACCAGACGAGGACAAUAAAGUUCGUCUCCUCUGCCGUCUUUUAAAGAUGGGAACGUGAGCUUUUAGGUACGAUGGGGAUUGCUCGAGGUUCGGACGGGAGCGUCGGCAAUGCUUUGCGCAUCUGCAAGGCGGGACCUCGUCGGCGAAUCCGUGACGCUGGAGAUAGUCUGAGAAGGAGAAUGCUUCCGCAUUUUGCACUGGACCUACUGUAAAUAAUGCGACGGGAUUCUGUUAAACGCGACCUCAUUCAAAACUCAGUUGUGAUUUGUUACUGUUUCUCACGGUAUACUAGUGAUAUUAGGAGAUCUACUUAAUUAUGAAUGUCUCAGGAUUAUGUACAAAUCUUAUUUAAUAUUGCAUAUCCUUAAUUGAUAUGUUAUAUUUAUUAGUCAUAUUAUAAAACCUAUAAAUAGAUGGAUGUAAUCCUCGUUAUGAAUACAUCGAAUACCUCAAAUUAUAGAGAAAUUCCUUAAAUCUGCCUUCCACAUUGUUAUUGUUAUUGUUAUUAUUAUUAUUAUUAUUAUUAUUAUUAUUAUUAUUAUUAUUAUUAUUAUUAUUGUUAUUAUUUAACUCUGUACAUGAAUUUGAUGGGCUGGUCUCAUUUCGUUCACGCAGCAGUCCUCUCUUGAGAAUCUAACACGAUUGAUUUAAUAAGCGUCAAUAUUAUGGGACUCCCUACGAGAUGGUUAUCUGACUUUACUGAGAGGUCCUUCCUCGAAAGUUUUGAGACCCUAACCGGCCGACCUCCCAACUGACAAGACCCCAAGCACAUUGUCCGUGCCUACAUCGAUGGCAACCGUGGCGCCAAACGUAGUUGCCGUUGACACUUCCUCUCUAGUAAAUGGAGCUUGAUAAUGUGUUGAACCAGAGAGAGAGAGAGAGAGUCACACGGAUGACUUAGUAUAUAUAUUAGGUUCAUCGAACAAUUUCUCGAGAGAGUAUCUCGUACAACACAAUAAACAAACAAUAACAUCGAAUCGAAAGGAAAAAGUUGUAAAGUCUCAAGUUGCGGAAUAAUCCUAUUUCUAGGAUCAACAACUACUUUCUUGCACAUACGUUACACCCUAUUUUCGAAUAGCAAUCGUAUGAUGACAAUACGACAUCUCUGAAAAUAAAAUCCAGCGGAUGAUAUUUGAGAAUUUAACCCGCAUUUCCACAGUCCAUCGUCUUACCCUCUCCCGCGAUUAAAAGGGCUAUAGCGAGGGCCGUAAUUUUUCUUGGGAACGCACGGUGUGUAGCGUCCCGGCCCUGUACGGCCACAAUUGGCGGGUUGGUUCGGAUUCCUGGAUCGUUGGGAGACAUCUCCGGGUCUAAGGGCCAGCAUGCUGCUGCCCAGGGCAUGCUCCGGGUCCAGCACCGCCAUCAGCUCCACCUUCGGUUGCUGGUAAGCGAUGAGGCACUCGAGGCCAUCGCACCGCCACGGAAUGGUGGCGUUGCCAGCUUCUGAAGCGGCUCCCGCUCCGUGGCAGCCAGUUGGAGCUGUCGCCAUGGUUGCAAGCAGGCACCACGCGAGGACGAAACGAAGGUAAACUUCCAUGUACUCUCUUUGUCUCUCUUUCUCUCGACAAAGAGUU
rnacentral:lncRNA from 1 species